GUAGUCUGCAACUCGACUACAUGAAGCUGGAAUCGCUAGUAAUCGCGGAUCAGAGUGCCGCGGUGAAUACGUUCCCGGGUCUUGUACACACCGCCCGUCACACCAUGGGAGUCGGAAAUGCCCGAAGUCUGUGACCCAACCGAGAGGAGGGAGCAGCCGAAGGCAGGUCGGAUGACUGGGGUGAAGUCGUAACAAGGUAAC
rnacentral:rRNA from 1 species